rnacentral:rRNA from 1 species
UACGUAGGGGGGCAAGCGUUUGUCCGGAAUCAUUGGGCGUAAAGAGCGUGUAGGCGGCCUGAUAAGUCGGCUGUGAAAGUCAAGGGCUCAACCCUUGAAUGCCGGCCGAUACUGUCAGGCUAGAGUCCGGAAGAGGCGAGUGGAAUUCCUGGUGUAGCGGUGAAAUGCGCAGAUAUCAGGAGGAACACCGAUGGCGAAGGCAGCUCGCUGGGACGGUACUGACGCUGAGACGCGAAAGCGUGGGGAGCGAACAGG